GUCCACGCCCUAAACGAUGUCGACUGGUUGUUGGGGGUUUCACACUCUCAGUAACGAAGCUAACGCGUGAAGUCGACCGCCUGGGGAGUACGGCCGCAAGGUUAAAACUCAAAGGAAUUGACGGGGACCCGCACAAGCGGUGGAUUAUGUGGAUUAAUUCGAUGCAACGCGAAAACCUUACCUACCCUUGACAUGUCCUGGAGCCUGAAGAGAUUCGGGUGUGCCCGAAAGGGAACGGGAACACAGGUGCUGCAUGGCUGUCGU
rnacentral:rRNA from 1 species